CCUACGGGAGGCAGCAGUGAGGAAUAUUGGUCAAUGGCCGGAAGGCUGAACCAGCCAAGCCGCGUGAAGGACGAAGGUGCCAAGCAUUGUAAACUUCUUUUGUCAAGGGACAAAAUCAGGCUCGAGAGCCUGACCGAGGGUACUUGAAGAAAAAGCAUCGGCUAACUCCGUGCCAGCAGCCGCGGUAAUACGGAGGAUGCGAGCGUUAUCCGGAUGUAUUGGGGUUAACGGGUGCGUAGGCGGGCUGUCAAGUCAGCGGUAAAAGCCCGGGGCUCAACCCCGGCGCGCCGUUGAAGCUGGCUGUUGUGAGAUGGCGAGAGGUAUGCGGAAUGCGCAGGGUAGCGGGGAAAU
rnacentral:rRNA from 1 species